rnacentral:rRNA from 1 species
GAUGAACGCUGGCGGCGUGCCUAAUACAUGCAAGUCGAGCGAAGCGGGGACGGGUGAGUAACGCCUGGGUAACCUCCUAUAGAACUGGGUUAACUUUGGAAAACCGAACCUAUACGCGUAACUUAUAAAUGGAUACUAGCUGCAUUAGCUAGUUGGUAAGGUAACGGCUUACCAAGGCAACGAUGCAUAGCCGACCUGAGAGGGUGACCGGCCACACUGGAACUGAGACACGGUCCAGACUCCUACGGGAGGCAGCAGUAGGGAAUAUUCCGCAAUGGGCGAAAGCCUGAUGGAGCAAUGCCGCGUGAGUGAUGAAGGUCUUCGGGUCGUAAAACUCUUUUAUUAGGGAAGCGGUACCUAAUCAGAAAGCCACGGCUAACUCCGUGCCAGCAGCCGCGGUAAUAC